rnacentral:rRNA from 1 species
CAGCAGUGGGGAAUAUUGCACAAUGGGCGCAAGCCUGAUGCAGCCAUGCCGCGUGUGUGAAGAAGGCCUUCGGGUUGUAAAGCACUUUCAGUCGUGAGGAAGGUAGUGUAGUUAAUAGCUGCAUUAUUUGACGUUUAGCGACAGAAGAAGCACCGGCUAACUCCGUGCCAGCAGCCGCGGUAAUACGGAGGGUGCGAGCGUUAAUCGGAAUUACUGGGCGUAAAGCGCAUGCAGGUGGUUUGUUAAGUCAGAUGUGAAAGCCCGGGGCUCAACCUCGGAAUAGCAUUUGAAACUGGCAGACUAGAGUACUGUAGAGGGGGUAGAAUUUCAGGUGUAGCGGUGAAAUGCGUAGAGAUCUGAAGGAAUACCGGUGGCGAAGGCGGCCCCCUGGACAGAUACUGACACUCAGAUGCGAAAGCGUGGGGAGCAAACAGGAUUAGAUACCCCUGGUAG